rnacentral:rRNA from 1 species
UUCCACAGCCAUAUCACCCUGCAGCCCAAGACCGGUUACUCACUGGAGCUAAGCAGGGCUGAGCCUGGUUAGUACCUGGAUGGGAGACCACUAGGGAACACUAGGUUGCUGUUGGAA